rnacentral:lncRNA from 1 species
UUGCCAUUAAAAUUAAUUUGAAAAGUUCCAUAAGGUAGAAAUAUCAAACCACAUAGAUCUUUCACCAUUACCAAAUUAGAUGUGGUGAUAAUUUUUGUGAGCACAUUCCGAAAAUGAUCAACGUUGAAAUACAAGACCAAUUCCUAUUGUGGCAGAUUUUUGAAUAACUUCAUUUUGAAGGUGACAGUGUGAUUGAAAUCCACCCAUAAAGUACAGAAGAAAGCAUAGGAUUUAAAUACCAUGAGUGCUAAAACCAUAUAAAAUGAAGAGAUAUUAUAAGUUGGUAAUCUUAUUCUAUCAUCUAGAUGAUAUAAAUUAGCAUUACUGUCAAACAAAACAUUGAGAAAGGUCCCAUUAAAGGUCAUUGAAAAAGAAAAACUUUGUGAAGUCCACUUCCCACACUAUAACAAAUUUGGUCAUUAG